rnacentral:misc_RNA from 1 species
UCUCCGUAGGUGAACCUGCGGAGGGAUCAUUACUGAAUCGCCCCUCAAGCCUUCAUCCCUUCAAACCUCUUUCCCUAAAACUGUGCUUGGGCGUCGCUCUCGCGCCGUCGCUCCUAUGCAUCAAUCUGGCUUUGGCUGAUCCACACAAAAAGAUUAAAAACUUUCAACACAGGAUCUCUUGGCCCUCGUAUCAAAGAAAAACGCAACAGAUCGGAAGAGCACACGUCUUGACUCCAGUCACCAUGCAUCAGCUCGUAUGACGUCUGCUGCGUAAACGAA